rnacentral:rRNA from 1 species
CCUUAGCGACUGCGGAGGACAUUAUCGAAUUUGAAGGGGUUGUAGCUGGCCUUUCACGAGGCAUGUGCACACCCUGCUUCAUCCACUUUACACCUGUGCACACCUUGUAGGCUCAGAGGAGUGCCGGGGCUUCCCGCCCUGGUGCGAGUCUGGCCCUAUGUUUUUCUACACACUCUGAUCAGUCAAUGAAUGUCAUCGCGUCAAACGCAUUUUAUACAACUUUCAGCAACGGAUCUCUUGGCUCUCGCAUCGAUGAAGAACGCAGCGAAAUGCGAUAAGUAAUGUGAAUUGCAGAAUUCAGUGAAUCAUCGAAUCUUUGAACGCACCUUGCGCCCCUUGGUAUUCCGAGGGGCACACCCGUUUGAGUGUCGUGAAAUUCUCAAUCCAAACACCUUUUGCGAGGUGUCUGGGCUUGGACUUGGGGGUCUGCUGGCUUUUGUCGGCUCUCCUUGAAUGCAUUAGCUCGAACCCUUGCGGAUCGGCUGCCGGUGUGAUAAUUGUCUACGCCGCGGUUGUGAUGCCACCUUCGGGUGUGGUCGGCUUCUAAUCGUCCUGAGAGGGACAACUUUUUGAAAUCUGACCUCAAAUCGGGUGGGACUACCCGCUGAACUUAAGCAUAUCAAAACGGAGAAAGGAA